rnacentral:rRNA from 1 species
ACGAUGCGUAGGGGUUCUGAGAGGAAGGUCCCCCACACUGGUACUGAGACACGGACCAGACUCCUACGGGAGGCAGCAGUGAGGAAUAUUGGUCAAUGGGCGGGAGCCUGAACCAGCCAAGUCGCGUGAGGGAAGACGGUCCUAUGGAUUGUAAACCUCUUUUGCCGGGGAGCAACGGGGUCCUUGCGAGGGCCUGAUGAGAGUACCCGGAGAAAAAGCAUCGGCUAACUCCGUGCCAGCAGCCGCGGUAAUACGGAGGAUGCGAGCGUUAUCCGGAUUUAUUGGGUUUAAAGGGUGCGUAGGCGGGCUGUUAAGUCAGCGGUCAAAUGUCGGGGCUCAACCCCGGCCUGCCGUUGAAACUGGUGGCCUCGAGUGGGCGAGAAGUAUGCGGAAUGCGUGGUGUAGCGGUGAAAUGCAUAGAUAUCACGCAGAACUCCGAUUGCGAAGGCAGCAUACCGGCGCCCGACUGACGCUGAGGCACGAAAGCGUGGGUAUCGAACAGGAUUAGAUACCCUGGUAGUCCACGCAGUAAACGAUGAAUGCUAGCUGUCCGGGGCUUCGGUCCUGG